rnacentral:rRNA from 1 species
UACAGAGGGUGCAAGCGUUAAUCGGAAUUACUGGGCGUAAAGCGUGCGUAGGCGGUUACGUAAGUUAGGUGUGAAAGCCCCGGGCUCAACCUGGGAAUUGCAUUUAAGACUGCGUAGCUAGGGUGCGGAAGAGGGAAGCGGAAUUUCCGGUGUAGCGGUGAAAUGCGUAGAUAUCGGAAGGAACAUCAGUGGCGAAAGCGGCUUCCUGGUCCAGCACCGACGUUCAGGCACGAAAGCGUGGGGAGCAAACAGG